AUUGAACGCUGGCGGCAUGCCUUACACAUGCAAGUCGAACGGCAGCACGGGUGCUUGCACCUGGUGGCGAGUGGCGAACGGGUGAGUAAUACAUCGGAACAUGUCCUGUAGUGGGGGAUAGCCCGGCGAAAGCCGGAUUAAUACCGCAUACGAUCUACGGAUGAAAGCGGGGGCCCUUCGGGCCUCGCGCUUUGGGGUUGGCCGAUGGCUGAUUAGCUAGUUGGUGGGGUAAAGGCCUACCAAGGCGACGAUCAGUAGCUGGUCUGAGAGGACGACCAGCCACACUGGGACUGAGACACGGCCCAGACUCCUACGGGAGGCAGCAGUGGGGAAUUUUGGACAAUGGGCGAAAGCCUGAUCCAGCAAUGCCGCGUGUGUGAAGAAGGCCUUCGGGUUGUAAAGCACUUUUGUCCGGAAAGAAAUCCUUGGCCCUAAUACGGUCGGGGGAUGACGGUACCGGAAGAAUAAGCACCGGCUAACUACGUG
rnacentral:rRNA from 1 species